UUUUAAUGCGUCUGCGUCUUCGUUCCAGAUAUGUUUUGAUCUUGAAAUAGGUCUUCUGUUUACUAACAUCCUAAACGAUUUCAGCAAAAGCAUUUGUUGUUUCUCUCUUGAUAUAGUUUAUGUUCACAUGGUGGUCUUCUAGUAUAUGCGAAUAUCUGAUGAUCCCCUUGAUCAUGGUGCCAAUGUAAUUCUGUUAACCUAUUUUAUCGAAUUUGGUUCUGAUUGUUUAAAGAGGUACAUUUUUCCGUUUGGAAUUAUUUGUAUGUUUGACUAUGCAUAAAUUAAAGUUUCAACCGAUCACCGUUUCAUGCAUCCCUUUGUAUUAUUUGAGGAUCUCAUAUGCAUAAAGGUGGUCAAUACAGCCAUCAAAUAUCAUUAUGUUGUCUGUUGUUGAUUUAGUGUGUAGAUAAACCGACAUUAUCACUGGCUUGUUAAUUAACAACCCAAUGCAAUGUAUAUGAUUUUAACCAUUAAAAUUGGCUUAAUGUAUUUAUCAAGUUUUAUUCCAUAAUAUUUCUACCACACCAUAUACGCGUAGCAUAUACAAGGCUGACAUUUAUUCAUCUAAGUUCAUGGCUUUAAUAAGUGUUUGACAAGCUGUUAUAUAUCCAAUGACAUUUUUCGAAGAAAGUGUGUGGUUUCAGUGUUUUGAUUAAUUUUCUUUUUUGUCAAAGCGUCAAAGUAAAUAUUUUUUUCAAAAUUUUAUUAAAAUUAUACGAACCAAAUCAAUUCUAUUCAAAUUGUAUUAACGACCCUAAGAGACAUCUCAUAAAAGAAAAAGAAAAACUAAAUGAAUCUCAAGAUCUCCAAAAAGGUCAGUGUCACUUUCCUGCUGCUAUUUAUCAACGCAUAGUAAAAAUAGUCGAAUAGAACAAAAUCGGUAAAUUGACAAACCAGACGAUAAAACGAUUUAACAAUUUAUUACAACUAUAACCUUCAAAAGGUUUUGACCCAAGAACAGAUUCUGGCUAUUUGAAAUUAGAACAGCUUUUGAAAGUUUUAUCUGAUCAUAUAGGUAUUUUAUGAAUUCAUCUAUGUAAUCUAUUCCCUUACUCAUUAAUCUAUCUUUUCC
rnacentral:lncRNA from 1 species